ACGAACGCUGGCGGCGUGCUUAACACAUGCAAGUAGAACGGAAAGGCCCUGCUUUUGUGGGGUGCUCGAGUGGCGAACGGGUGAGUAACACGUGAGUAUCCUGCCCUUGACUUUGGGAUAACUUCAGGAAACUGGGGCUAAUACCGGAUAGGAGCUCCUGCUGCAUGGUGGGGGUUGGAUAGUUUCGGCGGUUGGGGAUGGACUCGCGGCUUAUCAGCUUGUUGGUGGGGUAGUGGCUUACCAAGGCUUUGACGGGUAGCCGGCCUGAGAGGGUGACCGGCCACAUUGGGACUGAGAUACGGCCCAGACUCCUACGGGAGGCAGCAGUGGGGAAUAUUGCACAAUGGGCGGAAGCCUGAUGCAGCAACGCCGCGUGCGGGAUGACGGCCUUCGGGUUGUAAACCGCUUUCGCCUGUGACGAAGCGUGAGUGACGGUAAUGGGUAAAGAAGCACCGGCUAACUACGUG
rnacentral:rRNA from 1 species